UUAUAUUCCAGGAAACAUUAAACAUUGUUCAUUGCAGUUCAUAUGUUGAGAUGCCGGUUGCGAUGGUUAUAAUUCAUGAACAAUUCAAUGCAUGGCCUUUAAAGAAUGAUAUUGCUUUACUUCGUCUAGACGGUGUGAUUGAUUUCCAAAAGAGUGGAAUGGAACCUAUUUGCUUACCUGUGUCCUCUGAACUACAAAACAAAGAGCUUGCACACAGAGCUGGUGUAGUCACCGGUUGGGGAUACACCGAACAUAAUGAACCGUUCUUCAAAAAGUUAAGGUUCCUGUGAAACCGAAGUGUUUCGCUAAGAACGUCCUUUGCGCCGGGAAAAAGAACAAAGACUCCUGCGUCGGGGAUUCUGGCGGUCCUCUGAUGAUGACAGACUUCUUUAAUAAUGUCAAUCGUUACAUACAACAUGGUAUCGUAAGAAAUGUGACCUAAGAAAUGUGGAUCGUCAUCUGCAGGGAUUUACGUCGAUGUUAGAAAAUAUGUCGAUUGGAUUUUAGACCAUAUACGAGAGUAAUUUCUUCAUACAUUAGUUUUCAUAUAGAGAAUAAUAAUAUAA